rnacentral:rRNA from 1 species
UAACACGUGGGGGAACCUGCCCCAUAGUCUGGGAUACCACUUGGAAACAGGUGCUAAUACCGGAUAAGAAAGCGGAUCGCAUGAUCAGCUUUUAAAAGGCGGCGUAAGCUGUCGCUAUGGGAUGGCCCCGCGGUGCAUUAGCUAGUUGGUAAGGUAAAGGCUUACCAAGGCGAUGAUGCAUAGCCGAGUUGAGAGACUGAUCGGCCACAUUGGGACUGAGACACGGCCCAAACUCCUACGGGAGGCAGCAG